AGAGAUUCUGAAGACGAGGGACGUCGAGACCAUGAUGGGAGGAUGAGCAGAGAUAACGGACAACACUAGUGGAAAUCCAUGACUGGUGGCUGUGGAGCCCCCAUGCAACUGGACUAGGCCCUCUGGACACAGAAGACGUGUGGUGAUUCGACAGAAAGGAGGCAACUGCCACUGAGAACACAGGAGGAAACAUUUGCUGCUGUGCAGGAGCAAGCACUUCACUGAGAAAUCAGCAGAAGAGGAAGAUGGAUGGGGAAAAUAGAAAACAGGGAGGUUGACAGUUUAAGUGGAAAAGACCCUAGCAGUGUCUGGUACAAUCUCUGACUGAGGCUUGGAGAGAAAAGUCCAGAGAAGGAUGCGGCCACGCCUUCUGACUUGGCAAUAGUUGGAAGUCUCCAAAUUAUCCUUCCAUGUACUUAGGAGUUUGGAGAACUGGACUGCAGAACAAAUGCUGGGAUCUGGGCUGAAGCCGACCAGAAGGCUUCUGUCCUCCUCCCUCCUGAGUCACUGUGGCUCACUUGGCCAGCUGGCCAGCUUGCUUAAUGUGGACAGUCAUGGGAGAGGCAUGUGGAAGGAGAGCCGGAUGCAAUGGUCAAGCUCACCUCUCAGCACCAUUGAGACACACAGCUUGCCACCAAGGUCCAUCAGGCCAUGUGACAAAGACUCUGACCAGGAACUGAAAUGUAACUCCUGAACGUGCUGUUCCUGACAGUCAUUAGAAGCACACAAACACGAAAUGGCUAACGGCAGUGAAAUCAGGGUGGGCAUAGAGCUCAGCUGCUAGAGCACGUGCAGGGUAUGUACUGACCGGGUCCUGGGUUUAGUCCCCUGUACAGCAAGGAGAAAAACAAAAACAAACAAAUAGGAAGAGCUGGACCUAGUCACACACAUCUGUAAACCCACCCAGAAGGUGGAGAAAAAGAAUCAAGAGGCUGCCAACACAACAGAGUGAGACCCUGUUCCAAACAAACAAAAGCGCAGGGGAGUUCCAGAACACCCAAGUCUACAUAGCGAGACCUUGUCUAAAAAAAAAAAGACAAAACAAACAAAAAAGUGUUAUGUUUAAAACCUUACAAAUGAUUCCAUUCAAAAUGUGACACUUUGGGAUUCCUGCCAUCUCAUUAACUCCUCUAGUGCUGAAUUCCUUUACAGGCUGUGAUUUCUCCCUGAGGAAUACUGCUCAGGGAAGAAAGCGGGCUGGGAGUUUCCCUGUGGGGCUUGGCCACUCAGCUCGCCCUUCCAAAACUGUUCUUACCCCAAGGACUUUCUAGGAAAGCCCUCCAGUUCACACAUGCUUCAAGCCUAAUACUGAAGUACAAAUAAGGCCAGUCUCUGAGCUGCCGGCAUCUCCUUACUACGGAAAAGGCUGCAGGUCCCCAGAGUAGGCAUGUCUUCGCUGAGGCUUCCCACAGCAUCUUUGUGAGGAAGCUCUCUCCCUGCAAG